UACGUAGGGACCAAGCGUUGUUCGGAUUUACUGGGCGUAAAGGGCGCGUAGGCGGCGAUUCAAGUCAGUUGUGAAAUCUCCGAGCUUAACUCGGAACGGUCAACUGAUACUGUUUUGCUAGAGUGCAGAAAGGGCAACCGGAAUUCUUGGUGUAGCGGUGAAAUGCGUAGAUAUCAAGAGGAACACCUGAGGCGAAGGCGGGUUGCUAGGCUGACACUGACGCUGAGGCGCGAAAGCUAGGGUAGCAAACGGG
rnacentral:rRNA from 1 species